UGGGGAAUAUUGGACAAUGGGCGCAAGCCUGAUCCAGCCAUGCCGCGUGAGUGAUGACGGCCUUAGGGUUGUAAAGCUCUUUCGCUCGGGACGAUAAUGACGGUACCGAGAUAAGAAGCCCCGGCUAACUUCGUGCCAGCAGCCGCGGUAAUACGAAGGGGGCUAGCGUUGUUCGGAAUUACUGGGCGUAAAGCGCGUGUAGGCGGGUCUUUAAGUCAGGGGUGAAAUGCCAAGGCUCAACCUUGGAACUGCCUUUGAUACUGGAGAUCUUGAGUCCGGGAGAGGUGAGUGGAAUUGCGAGUGUAGAGGUGAAAUUCGUAGAUAUUCGCAAGAACACCAGUGGCGAAGGCGGCUCACUGGCCCGGAACUGACGCUGAGACGCGAAAGCGUGGGGAGCAAACAG
rnacentral:rRNA from 1 species